rnacentral:lncRNA from 1 species
UCGAGCCUCUCUGCAGCCUCGAAGUUUUGCUUUGCAGAUCUAUCGUUCUUGCGCGAUAGAUCUGUUUCUCUGCUUGUCUAAUCAUAUAGAUCGCUUCUCGAUCUACAAUUUGAUAUCGGUUUUGGUGAAUUCGAGGUCAUCGAGAUUAUCUUCUGUACAUACUGGUAUCUGAUUUGUGUUUUUGCCAUAGAUCGAUGCUUCUUACAUGUUUUUCUUGCAUUUUUAUUACAUAUGUUUUAUUGUUUUCCGUUUUCGUGUAAGAUUUGUCAACAUAGUAGAUUCAAAUUUACCUGUUAUCUGAGUUUAUUUCAGGGAUUGCGAUCUGAGAUAUUUGUCCUUAGAGAUGGCGUAUUCUCUAUCAGAUCUUUGUUCUGACUUGGAGUCGUUUCCCGAUUGGCGCGGGGAUAUUACUCGGGGUGUGAUAGCGGAUGAUACAGCUGCUGAGCAUCUGAGGGGACGGAGUCUUCAACAUAUUGAUGGAUUUAUGUAAUCUGGGGAUGCGAAUCGAAUCAAAGGAAAGGUGCCUCUUCAUUGUUAGAAAAAAGAUGUAUAAGACAUCGGGACCAAGGCCUAACUUAUUUGGUCUGUGUUUCGGUUGUUCUUUGUCAUCAGGCCUUUGCCAUGACAGGUGCGCUUGCAUGGCAGGUCACAAACAAUAAUAAAAAAAAUAUAUUUUUUGUUCGAGGGGGGGUUCGCACGGGGAUUUGCCCGGGUUCUCCCCUCCGGUGUGCCGUGUCCUGCUUUCUCUCUCUCUGUGUUUAUUCUUCUUGAUCUCUCCUACACAAGGAAAUCUGAGCAGCAGCAACGGCAGAUCCUGUGAGAUCUAGGCGCUAAAGGUACAUAUUACCAAGCAUACAAAGUUGAGUUUUAUUAUAAAUUAGCCUUGUGCAAUCCCAUUCCUUUUCUUUUUAGUUAUGGGAUGCAGCACAAAAGGCGCCUUAAUUCAGCCUUUCUUUUUAAAUACCAAUUAACUACAUAUAUAUCCUGUGAUCGUAUCAUCAUCCCUAAUGCCUUUAUUCCCGAAAUUAUAAAUUGAGUCAAAAAAAGGGCAUUGAUUUUGCCGGCCCCGGCUCCUACAUGGUUUUCGAUAUUUAAAAAUAUUGUUAUUAAUGAUUAAAGUACCUGAAAUGAUUAAGCAUGGUAUUUGGUAUUUGGUAUUUGACAGUUCGCUUUGAGGAAUUUUGCCAACAUUCGUCACAAUUUUUCGAGGUAAAGAAACCAAAAAAUGGUGUUCAAGAAUUUUAGAUGGUUCUGUGCGUUUUAC